rnacentral:misc_RNA from 1 species
UUGGCUUUUGUUUUGUUUUUUAUCAGACUGUUGUUUUGCUUACACAAGAUGUAAGACACGCUGCAUGCUGCUCGCUACGAGACGUUCGUCCCGCAGCACAGCUUCCACACGCAGCGAGGGUGUGAAGAAAUCUCGAGCCUUGCGUCCCGUUUUACUUCAGUAAUGAUCCUUCCGCAGGUUCACCUACGGAAA